AGGAUUAUAGUUAAAAAUAACAUUUGGGUUGCAUCUAAAAAGUACUAUAAUAGUUAAUCUUA
rnacentral:tRNA from 1 species